rnacentral:rRNA from 1 species
AACGAACGCUGGCGGCAUGCCUAACACAUGCAAGUCGAACGAGACCUUCGGGUCUAUUGGCGCACGGGUGCGUAACGCGUGGGAACCUGCCCUUAGGUUCGGAAUAACUCCCCGUAAGGUGUGCUAAUACCGGAUAAUGUCUUCGGACCCAAGAUUUAUCGCCUUUGGAUGGGCCCGCGUUGGAUUAGCUAGUUGGUAGGGUAAAAGCCUACCAAGGCGACGAUCCAUAGCUGGUCUGAGAGGAUGAUCAGCCACACUGGGACUGAGACACGGCCCAGACUCGUACGGGAGGCAGCAGUGGGGAAUAUUGGACAAUGGGCGAAAGUCUGAUCCAGCAAUGCCGGGUGAGUGAUGAAGGCCUUAGGGUUGUAAAGCUCUUUUACCCGGGAUGAUAAUGACAGUAACGGGAGAAUAAGCUCCGGCUAACUCCGUG